UGGGGAAUUUUGGACAAUGGGGGAAACCCUGAUCCAGCCAUCCCGCGUGUGCGAUGAAGGCCUUCGGGUUGUAAAGCACUUUUGGCAGGAAAGAAACGUCAUGGGCUAAUACCCCGUGAAACUGACGGUACCUGCAGAAUAAGCACCGGCUAACUACGUGCCAGCAGCCGCGGUAAUACGUAGGGUGCAAGCGUUAAUCGGAAUUACUGGGCGUAAAGCGUGCGCAGGCGGUUCGGAAAGAAAGAUGUGAAAUCCCAGAGCUCAACUUUGGAACUGCAUUUUUAACUACCGGGCUAGGGUGUGUCAGAGGGAGGUGGAAUUCCGCGUGUAGCAGUGAAAUGCGUAGAUAUGCGGAGGAACACCGAUGGCGAAGGCAGCCUCCUGGGAUAACACUGACGCUCAUGCACGAAAGCGUGGGGAGCAAACAGG
rnacentral:rRNA from 1 species